rnacentral:rRNA from 1 species
GAUGAACGCUGGCGGCGUGCCUAAUACAUGCAAGUCGAGCGAACAGAUGAGGAGCUUGCUCCUCUGACGUUAGCGGCGGACGGGUGAGUAACACGUGGAUAACCUACCUAUAAGACUGGGAUAACUUCGGGAAACCGGAGCUAAUACCGGAUAAUAUAUUGAACCGCAUGGUUCAAUAGUGAAAGACGGUUUUGCUGUCACUUAUAGAUGGAUCCGCGCCGCAUUAGCUAGUUGGUAAGGUAACGGCUUACCAAGGCAACGAUGCGUAGCCGACCUGAGAGGGUGAUCGGCCACCCUGGAACUGAGACACGGUCCAGACUCCUACGGGAGGCAGCAGUAGGGAAUCUUCCGCAAUGGGCGAAAGCCUGAAGGAGCAACGCCGCGUGAGUGAUGGAGGUCUUCGGAUCGUAAAACUCUGUUAUUAGGGAAGAACAAAUGUGUAAGUAACUAUGCACGUCUUGACGGUACCUAAUCAGAAAGCCACGGCUAACUACGUGC